rnacentral:rRNA from 1 species
GGUGAGUAACACGUGGGCAAUCUGCCCUGCACUCUGGGACAAGCCCUGGAAACGGGGUCUAAUACCGGAUAUGACCGUCUUGGGCAUCCUUGACGGUGUAAAGCUCCGGCGGUGCAGGAUGAGCCCGCGGCCUAUCAGCUUGUUGGUGAGGUAAUGGCUCACCAAGGCGACGACGGGUAGCCGGCCUGAGAGGGCGACCGGCCACACUGGGACUGAGACACGGCCCAGACUCCUACGGGAGGCAGCAGUGGGGAAUAUUGCACAAUGGGCGAAAGCCUGAUGCAGCGACGCCGCGUGAGGGAUGACGGCCUUCGGGUUGUAAACCUCUUUCAGCAGGGAAGAAGCGAAAGUGACGGUACCUGCAGAAGAAGCGCCGGCUAACUACGUGCCAGCAGCCGCGGUAAUACGUAGGGCGCAAGCGUUGUCCGGAAUUAUUGGGCGUAAAGAGCUCGUAGGCGGCUUGUCACGUCGGUUGUGAAAGCCCGGGGCUUAACCCCGGGUCUGCAGUCGAUACGGGCAGGCUAGAGUUCGGUAGGGGAGAUCGGAAUUCCUGGUGUAGCGGUGAAAUGCGCAGAUAUCAGGAGGAACACCGGUGGCGAAGGCGGAUCUCUGGGCCGAUACUGACGCUGAGGAGCGAAAGC